AGCGUCAGCGGCGUUAACUCGGCGGAUCGUGCGUCGUCUCGGAUUUCGGUCUUGGGACGCGUAAUCUUUCCAUGCCUUGUUUGGCGUCGUCGUCGUGCACUUCUUCCCUAGUAGAACGUCGCGACCCGUUGGGUGCUGGUCUACGGUCCGAGCGGUAGACUGUCGCGUCGCUUCGGCGCACGCGGCAGACCCUCGGUCACCCGGCCGGCUGCCCGGCGGUCGAACUUAUAAGGUAUCUUGCCGCAAUUAUCGAACUGCGUCGGGCCCGUCGCAAGCGAGGCCAGUGUCUUAC
rnacentral:rRNA from 1 species